UUGGUUACAGUAGUCGCCUCAUGUGGACCAGAACCAGGACAGACCAUCAGACCUCCUCCACGCCCAAAAACCAGACCUGUACCCUGUAGACCGACCCCGGGUGAAGGAUGGACGUAUCCUGGCUCCACCUCCUUCUGACCGUGUCCAUCCUGGUGUCCCUGGUCCUUCUGCUCAUCGUGUGUCUCAACUGCAGGAACAAACGUCCUCUGGCAUCCAUCCCUCAGACCAACCC